rnacentral:rRNA from 1 species
UUGAACGCUGGCGGCAUGCUUUACACAUGCAAGUCGAACGGCAGCGCGGGCUUUGGCCUGGCGGCGAGUGGCGAACGGGUGAGUAAUACAUCGGAACGUGCCCAGUAGUGGGGGAUAGCUCGGCGAAAGCCGGAUUAAUACCGCAUACGACCUGAGGGUGAAAGCGGGGGAUCUUCGGACCUCGCGCUAUUGGAGCGGCCGAUGGCAGAUUAGCUAGUUGGUGGGGUAAAGGCCUACCAAGGCGACGAUCUGUAGCUGGUCUGAGAGGACGACCAGCCACACUGGGACUGAGACACGGCCCAGACUCCUACGGGAGGCAGCAGUGGGGAAUUUUGGACAAUGGGCGAAAGCCUGAUCCAGCAAUGCCGCGUGUGGGAUGAAGGCCUUCGGGUUGUAAAGCACUUUUGGCGGGAACGAAAAGGACUGUGCCAAUACCACGGUUCGAUGACGGUACCCGCAGAAUAAGCACCGGCUAACUACGUG